rnacentral:rRNA from 1 species
GAAUUGUAGUCUGGAGAUACGUUGCCCACGGUGACGCAGAUGUAAACCUCUUGAAAGAGAGAACCAACGAGGGUGAGAGUCCCGUUUGUCAUCUGCAGCCUUCCGUGCACGGCGCGUCUUCGAAGAGUCACGUUCCUUGGAAUUGGAGCGCAACGUGGGUGGUAACUUUCAUCUCAAGCUAAAUAUGGAUUCGAGACCGAUAGCAAACAAGUACCAUGAGGGAAAGGUGAAAAGGACUUUGAAAAGAGAGUUACAAGUGCCUGAAAUUGCUGAAAGGGAAGCGAAGGGAAUUAGUGCUGCUUGGCAAAAUCUUCUGUGCGCUGACGGGACUGCUUGUCACAUCAAUGCAAGUGCAGUGGCGAGUCUCAAACAGAUUGCGCAUAGUGCUUCUUGCCCUGCGUGUCAAUGCCAACUCGGCGAUGAGGAGCGCUCCAGGGACAUGGCAGUUUGCCUCUGGGUGAACGAAUGUGCCUGGAAACACUCGUUGCUGUAUGGAUGUACGUGCAUCUGGUUGUAGCCCCCUGCAUGAAAGGGGCCUUCCUGAUGUGAACAAGGACUGAGUGGUUCUAUUCGACCCGUCUUGAAACACGGACCAAGGAGUCUAACAUAUCUGCAAGCUAGCGGGUAAGCAAGCCUGCUUGCGCAAUGAAAGUGAUCUGCUGGGAUUGAGCGCCAGUGCCCGACCAAUCGAUGGAGAGAGGUUUGAGGUGAGCACAUCUGUUAGGACCCGAAAGAUGGUGAACUAUGCCU